rnacentral:tRNA from 1 species
GGUGGCUCAGUGGUAGAGUGCUUGCCUUGCAUGCAUGAGGCUCUGAGUUCGAUUCCCUAGCACCA